rnacentral:ncRNA from 2 species
CGAUAUCAGGGAAGCUUUGAAGUAUAACCUUUAUCUGGACACUUGGGUAAUAUGGAGCUGGUAGUGUAACCGAUCCUCGAUUCA